rnacentral:rRNA from 1 species
AUCACUUACGAUGCCGACCGGCGAUCGCCGUCGUUACUUGAAUGACUCGGCGGGCAGCCUCCGGGAAACCAGAGUGUUUGGGUUCCGGGGGAAAGUAUGGUUGCGAAGCUGAAACUUAAAGGAAUUGACGGAAGGGCACCACCAGGAGUGGAGCCUGCGGCUUAAUUUGACUCAACACGGGAAAUCUCACCAGGCCCGGACACCGGAAGGAUUGACAGAUUGAGAGCUCUUUCUUGAUUCGGUGGGUGGUGGUGCAUGGCCGUUCUUAGUUGGUGGAGCGAUUUGUCUGGUUAAUUCCGAUAACGAACGAGACUCUGGCCUACUAACUAGACGUUGGAUCUCUUUGUGGGUCCAACACUUCUUCUUAGGAGGACGGGCGGCGUUUACCCGCACGACAAUGAGCAAUAACAGGUCUGUGAUGCCCUUAUGUGUUCUGGGCUGCACGCGCGCUACACUGAAGGAAUCAGCGUGUGUACCCUGUCCGAAAGGACUGGGAAACCCGUUGAACCUCCUUCGUGAUGGGGAUUGGGGAUUGCAAUUAUUCCCCAUGAACGAGAAAUUCUCAGUAGGCGCGAGUCAUAAACUCGCGUCUAUUAUAUCCCUGCCCUCUGUACACACCGCCCGUCGCUACUACCGAUCGAGUGUGAUAGAGAGGAGUUCUGACAGUUCCUCCGUUAUGGCUGUUCUGGUCCGUGCGAGCUAUGUGAAAGAUGCCCGAACCUUGAUCACUUAUUAGAGUAAUAAUCGUAGCAACGUUGUCUGUAGGUGAUCAUGCUGCAGGAUGAUGACGACUACUCGCUGCUAAAUGCAGUACGACCUACUAGUGAGCGGAUACAGUCCGACUGCCCGCCCAAUCUUCAGUCAGGGGGUUCCUGAACGUAAAUCUUUGCAUUGUAU